rnacentral:rRNA from 1 species
GUAGGAGCCCAUCACUCAAGUGCCUCGCACUGAGUGAUUGCAAAAACCAUUCGAAAACAGCGUCGCGUUUACCUACAAAGUGGAUUGAUUUUUUCAAGCCGUCGCGCAGUGUACAUAGAAGUACACGAGCAACGGAAGUUAAAAAAUCGAGCCAGUUUGGCAGUAAAAGCAAGCGGGACAUUUGAGGAUGGGGUGACUGC